GGGGCUGAUUCAGGAUUCGACGGGAAUUUUGCAGUCUGAGGUGCAUGCCGAGGUGCGGUAGGCCUCGUUAACAAACCGCAAAAAAAUAGUCGCAAACGACGAAAACUACGCACUAGCAGCUUAAUACCCUGCUCAGAGCCCUUCCUCCCUAGCUUCCGCUUGUAAGACGGGGAAAUCAGGAAGGUCAAACCAAAUCAAGCUGGCGUGGAUUCCCCAAUGGUUUUCGGACGGGGGUUCAACUCCCCCCAGCUCCACCA
rnacentral:tmRNA from 1 species